rnacentral:rRNA from 1 species
UUAAGUGAAUAAGGGCGCAAGGCGGAUGCCUUGGCACCAGAAGGCGAAGAAAGACGUGGUACGCUGCGAAAAGCGACGAGGAGGUGCGAACAACCGUUGAUCCGUCGAUAUCUGAAUGGGGAAACCCACCACGCAAGUGGUAUCCUUAACUGAAUACAUAGGUUAAGGAGGCGAACCCGGGGAACUGAAACAUCUAAGUACCCGGAGGAAAGGAAAUCAACAGAGACUCCGCAAGUAGUGGCGAGCGAACGCGGACUAGGCCAAUAUUGAUACUAAGAAGAACCCAAACACUUUGGAAAAGGUGACCUUAGAAGGUGAUAGUCCUGUAGGGGUAGAGUCUUAGAUCAAGUACGAGUAGGGCGGGACACGAGAAAUCCUGUCUGAACAUGGGGGGACCACCCUCCAAGCCUAAGUACUAACUGGUGACCGAUAGUGAACAAGUACCGUGAGGGAAAGGUGAAAAGAACCCCAAAUAGGGGAGUGAAAUAGAUCCUGAAACCUUGUGCCUACAAGCAGUCAGAGCCCGAAAGGGUGAUGGCGUACCUUUUGUAUAAUGGGUCAGCGAGUUAGUCUUUGUAGCGAGCUUAAGCCGAUAGGUGUAGGCGAAGCGAAAGCGAGUCUUAAUAGGGCGUUUUAGUUACAAGGAUUAGACCCGAAACCGAGUGAUCUAGCUAUGGGCAGGUUGAAGUUGCGGUAACACGCAAUGGAGGACCGAACCCACGUCUGUUGCAAUAGACGGGGAUGACCUGUGGCUAGGGGUGAAAGGCCAAUCAAACUCGGAAAUAGCUGGUUCUCCGCGAAAUCUAUUUAGGUAGAGCGUUUUGUGGUUACUGUCGGGGGUAGAGCACUGGAUAGGUGCGGGGGGAGCGAUCCCUACCAAUCUUAACCAAACUCCGAAUACCGACAAGUAUAGCAGAGCAGACAGACUAUGGGUGCUAAGGUCCAUAGUCAAAAGGGAAACAGCCCUGACCGCCGUCUAAGGUCCCAAAGUAAUCAUUAAGUGGGAAAGGAUGUGGGAAGGCCAAGACAGCUAGGAGGUUGGCUUAGAAGCAGCCAUCCUUUAAAGAAAGCGUAAUAGCUCACUAGUCUAGUUAAGCCGUCCUGCGCCGAAAAUGUACCGGGGCUCAAAUGAUUCACCGAAGACGCGGAUUUCUAGGAUUACCUAGAAGUGGUAGCGGAGCGUUCUGUACGUCUGUGAAGGGAUACCUGCGAGGGGUCCUGGAGAUAUCAGAAGUGAGAAUGCUGACAUGAGUAACGAUAAAGACUGUGAGAAACAGUCUCGCCGUAAGUCCAAGGUUUCCUGCGCAAGGUUAAUCCACGCAGGGUUAGUCGGCCCCUAAGGCGAGGGCGAAAGCCGUAGUCGAUGGGAACAAGGUUAAUAUUCCUUGACCUAGUAUAAGUGACGAAGGUCGUAAGGUGUAUCGAAUUAAUGGAUUUUUGAUGCACUGAAGAACUUCCAGGAAAUAGCUUAUACGCUAAUAGACCGUACCCCAAACCGACACAGGUGGACGAGUAGAACAUACUAAGGCGCUUGAGAGAAUUGUGUUGAAGGAACUCGGCAAAAUGACCCCGUAACUUCGGGAGAAGGGGUACCUGUCUUUGGGCAACCAGAGAGAGGUGGCACAGAAUAGGGGGUGGCGACUGUUUAUCAAAAACACAGGACUCUGCAAAAUCGAAAGAUGACGUAUAGGGUCUGACGCCUGCCCGGUGCUGGAAGGUUAAAAGGAGGUGUGCAAGCUCCGAAUUGAAGCCCCAGUAAACGGCGGCCGUAACUAUAACGGUCCUAAGGUAGCGAAAUUCCUUGUCGGGUAAGUUCCGACCCGCACGAAUGGCGUAACGACUUCCCCACUGUCUCCAACACAAACUCAGUGAAAUUGGAUUCUCCGUGAAGAUACGGAGUACCCGCGGUUAGACGGAAAGACCCCGUGCACCUUUACUACAACUUUACAGUGGUAUUAGGGCGUGAAUGUGCAGAAUAGGUGGGAGUUGAUGAAGGAUUGGCGUCAGUCGGUCUGGAGACACCUUUGAGAUACCACCCUUUUACGCUUUGAUAUCUAACCGAGACCCGUGAAGCCGGGUCCGGGACCCUGUAUGGUGGGUAGUUUGACUGGGGCGGUCGCCUCCUAAAGAGUAACAGAGGCGCGCGAAGGUAGGCUCAAGCUGGUCGGAAAUCAGCUGUAGAGUGCAAUGGCAAAAGCCUGCCUGACUGUGAGACUGACAAGUCGAGCAGAGACGAAAGUCGGUCAUAGUGAUCCGGUGGUUCUGAGUGGAAGGGCCAUCGCUCAACGGAUAAAAGGUACGCCGGGGAUAACAGGCUGAUCUCCCCCAAGAGUUCACAUCGACGGGGAGGUUUGGCACCUCGAUGUCGGCUCAUCACAUCCUGGGGCUGGAGCAGGUCCCAAGGGUAUGGCUGUUCGCCAUUUAAAGUGGUACGUGAGCUGGGUUCAGAACGUCGUGAGACAGUUCGGUCCCUAUCUGCCGUGGGUGUAGAAGAAUUGACAGGAGUUGCCCCUAGUACGAGAGGACCGGGGUGAACGAUCCUCUGGUGUACCGGUUGUUCCGCCAGGAGCAUCGCCGGGUAGCUAAGAUCGGACGAGAUAACCGCUGAAAGCAUCUAAGCGGGAAGCUUCCCUGAAAACUAGUUCUUCCUAUGAGAGGCGUUGUAGACCACGACGUUGAUAGGCUGGAUGUGGAAGUGUGGUAACACAUGAAGCUAACCAGUACUAAUCCCUCCAUUGUCUUAAUUGA